rnacentral:rRNA from 1 species
GAGUUUGAUCUUGGCUCAGAUUGAACGCUGGCGGCAGGCCUAACACAUGCAAGUCGAGCGGUAGAGAGAAGCUUGCUUCUCUUGAGAGCGGCGGACGGGUGAGUAAUGCCUAGGAAUCUGCCUGGUAGUGGGGGAUAACGCUCGGAAACGGACGCUAAUACCGCAUACGUCCUACGGGAGAAAGCAGGGGACCUUCGGGCCUUGCGCUAUCAGAUGAGCCUAGGUCGGAUUAGCUAGUUGGUGAGGUAAUGGCUCACCAAGGCGACGAUCCGUAACUGGUCUGAGAGGAUGAUCAGUCACACUGGAACUGAGACACGGUCCAGACUCCUACGGAGGCAGCAGUGGGGAAUAUUGGACAAUGGGCGAAAGCCUGAUCCAGCCAUGCCGCGUGUGUGAAGAAGGUCUUCGGAUUGUAAAGCACUUUAAGUUGGGAGGAAGGGCAGUAAAUUAAUACUUUGCUGUUUUGACGUUACCGACAGAACAAGCACCGGCUAACUCUGUGCCAGCCG